CCGAUCAUAGCUCAGUUGGAAGAGCCAAGGACUCCUUGAUAAUUUAAAAAAAAUUGGAAGAGCAAAGGACUGUAAUUUAAAAAGAUAUCCUUAGGUCCCUGGUUCGAUCCCAGGUGAUCGGA